rfam:Cucumis sativus cultivar 9930 chromosome 3, whole genome shotgun sequence.
GUGCUUCAAGGAUGAACAAAGUUUCACACAUAGAUAUCCAUCCUUUUCACUUUGUCAGCUUCGUCUUUCAUGUGUUGCCGAUCAUUGUUGAAUGGAAGAUCU